rnacentral:sRNA from 2 species
CGCUUUUUUGCUAUGCGCAAUAUCUAAAGAUUCGAACCUGCAGCAGGUUCGGGUUGAGCAAAGCGAAACAACGGAGCCGCUUGCGGCGACGGCCCGAAGGGCGAGCGAAGCGAGUCAUCCUGCACGCCCACCAA